UUUGUUUUCUUCAAGACAUCCCUUUCUCAGUGGGUGGCAAACCCAAAACAUCCCAGGCAAACUCUGAUGCCGUGUUCUUGAAGACUUUUCAUUUAGACUAUGGAUUGUGGUAAUAAUAAAUGUCAAUCUAAUAUUAAAAUAGCCAAACUCCACUUUUGGUCACCUGGGCAGCCAGAGCCAAUUUUGAUUCAGAAUCCCAGUCACCACCAUCACCAUUACCACGUGAAACUCCACUUGGCUGGGAUAGCAUCAUUGCCCCAUUCCGCCACCAGGGGGCAGCAUCGUCGCCGCGGUCCUCGGUCGGCUAAAGGCUAACAGCAGGCUUAGUUCGCACCGUAAUUAUGCGGCGUAAGGAAUCGAUCGGGUGCAGGUUAUUCUGUGAAGGAAGUGCCGGAGGUGAUGUGAACUUUAAGGCAAACAUUACGUCCAGUCUUCUACGUUGGGUGCUCGGACUCAGGAUUAAGAACUCUGCAAGAGGGGUACGAGGGUGACUCAGUUGUUAAGCGUCUGCCUUCAGCUCAGAUCAUGAUCCCAGGGUCCUGAGAUCGAGCCCCGCAUCGGGCUAAUCUGCAUCGGGCUCCCUGCUCAGCAGGGAGCCUGCUUCUCC